UAUUAUGAUGAAACAAAUUUUACAGACCUGUACUGAACUAAAUUUUUAAGAAUUUAGUGUUGCAGAUAAACACUUUGCCUUUUAGCUGAUC
rnacentral:snoRNA from 1 species